ensembl:snoRNA Gm23734 small nucleolar RNA U6-53/MBII-28
UCCCGAUGAUGAGUUGCCAUGCUAAUACUGAGACACCAGCCAGGCUGUUCCUGCCUGGUUUGGGUGCCAAUGAGUUCAACAAGACUUCUCACGUGGAGACCUGAGGGAC